AUUGAACGCUGGCGGCAGGCCUAACACAUGCAAGUCGAGCGGUUGAAGGGAGCUUGCUCCCUGAUUCAGCGGCGGACGGGUGAGUAAUGCCUAGGAAUCUGCCUAUUAGUGGGGGACAACGUUUCGAAAGGAACGCUAAUACCGCAUACGUCCUACGGGAGAAAGCAGGGGACCUUCGGGCCUUGCGCUAAUAGAUGAGCCUAGGUCGUAUUAGCUUGUUGGGGCGGCAAUGGCUCACCAAGGCGACGAUCCGUAACUGGGCUGAGAGGAUGAGCAGUCACACGGGAAUUGAGACACAGUCCAUACUCCGACGGGAGGCAGCAGAGGGGAAUAUUGGACAAUGGGCGAAAGCCUGAUCCAGCCAUGCCGCGUGUGUGAAGAAGGUCUUCGGAUAAUAAUGCACUUUAAGUUGGGAGGAAGGGUUGUAGAUUAAUACUCUGCAAUUUUGACGUUACCGACAGAAUAAGCACCGGCUAACGCUGUGCCAGCAGCCGCAGUAA
rnacentral:rRNA from 1 species